GUGCUCGCUUUGGCAGCACAUAUACUAAAAUUGGAACAAUACAGAGAUUAGCAUGGCCCGUGUGCAAGGAUGACACACAAAACGAUAAGUAAAAAUUAAAAACUAA